rnacentral:rRNA from 1 species
UACGGAGGGUGCAAGCGUUAUCCGGAUUUACUGGGCUUAAAGGGUGCGCAGGCGGAUAUGUAAGUCAGUGGUGAAAUCUCCGGGCUUAACCCGGAAACUGCCGUUGAUACUAUAUAUCUUGAAUGCUGUGGAGGUAAGCAGAAUAUGUCAUGUAGCGGUGAAAUGCUUAGAGAUGACAUAGAAUACCUAUUGCGAAGGCAGCUUACUGGGCAGAUAUUGACGCUCAUGCACGAAAGCGUGGGGAUCAAACAGG